ACGCAGUUUCUUUCUUUACUUCAUCCUGCGUCGUCUCGCUCGAGAGCCCUUUCCCUGAGUUCCCUCCUUCUCCCCAGUCGAAAACCCUAUUCACAGCGUUUUGUCACCUUUGCGCUUUCCAGAAUGAGUAGCCGUGCGAGCCGAACUCUCUAUGUCGGCAAUCUUCCUGCCGAUAUUCGCGAGAGAGAAGUGGAGGAUUUGUUUCACAAGUAUGGACGCGUAGCCCACAUUGAUCUGAAGGUACCACCAAGGCCCCCAGGUUAUGCAUUUGUUGAGUUUGAAGAUGCUCAAGAUGCUGAAGAUGCUAUUCGUGGUCGUGAUGGCUAUGAUUUUGACGGGCAUCGGCUACGUGUGGAACUUGCACAUGGUGGCCGUGGACAUCCAUCAUCAAGAGAUCGUUAUAGUAGUCAUAGCAAUGGUCGUGGUGGACGUGGUGGAGUAUCCAGGCGCUCUGAAUUUCGUGUGCUUAUCACUGGAUUGCCUUCUUCUGCUUCAUGGCAAGACCUUAAGGACCACAUGCGACAAGCUGGGGAUGUUUGUUUUUCCCAAGUUUUCCGUGAGAACGGUGGCACAACAGGGAUUGUGGAUUACACAAACUAUGAAGACAUGAAGUAUGCAGUAAAAAAACUUGAUGACUCUGAGUUUCGGAAUGCAUUUUCUCGGGGAUAUGUUCGUGUUAGGGAAUAUGAUUCAAAGAGGGAUGCCUCUAGGAGCCCUAGUCGUGGUCGAUCUUAUUCAAGAGGCAGGAGCUAUAGCCGCAGUCGUAGCCGAAGUAUUAGUCGGGGCAGGAGCAAGAGCAAGUCUCCAAAAGCCAAAUCUUCUCACCGUUCGCCUGCUAGAUUGCAGUCGAGGUCUGCUUCUCGAUCUCACUCUCGUUCUCGGCCUGGUUCAAGGUCCCGUUCUAUGUCAGGAUAUGGAUACAUGCAGCAAAGUGGGGAUUGGAUAUUAGGAUCUUGAUGGGAUUUGGUUCUGUUGCCUGCAACUCUUUUGGUUGUGGAGAUUGGGAACAAAGGAGAUCAUGGUUGCAAUUUUAAAGCUGGAUAUCUGUGAACUAAGUGGCAUUGGGAUUUGGAUAUCAUCAUCAAUGAGCAGUAGAGAUGAUUUCAUUUUCCUUUUCUGCUCCAACAUUUGCCAAGCUAAUAGGCUGCUCUCUGGAUUUUUUUGAUCCCGCUCAAGAUCCAGAUCUCCAGUGCCUGCGCGUGAGAAAAAUAAGAGUAAAAGCCCAAAGAGACGCAGUACAAGCAGGAGCCCAAGCAGGAGCAGGAGCAAGAGCAAGAGCGUAUCCAGGUGAGAUCAGAUUGCAGCUGAUCUGUUAAUCCCUGAAGCACUGAUGAGGGUGUGGUCUUUUUCUGUUUUUUGUUUUUCUUUCUACUGUACCAGAAAUUAUGCUUGGCAAGCAAUGGCAGGCCUAUUAAGUAGAACAGACUGGAGUUUGUGGUUGCAUUUUAAACUGACGACAUGUUUUCUAAAUCUUUUUGAAUCCUUGUUAUGUUGGAACUUCAACAUUUUCCAUGUUUGUAUUUUACAUGAGAUUUGCUAAA